rnacentral:sRNA from 1 species
CCCAACACAGAGUGAAUUCAAAUUUGCUUUUGGAACAGCCUUUAUCUCCAAUUAAGUGCAAGUAUAUUUACACUAUGUGAUAUUAAAGGACUUCUCCAAUGACUGGGAGGUACUGA